CAGCAAUAUAAUUUGGCCACUAUCAUUCACCAGUUUUUCCCCUUUCCCUUCUCUCCUCCUCCCCUUGGCCCCUCCACUUGUCUCCACAAGGGAAGAUAGUGUUCUGUGUCCUGUCUAGCUUCCCAGUCAAGCGGGCCAUCGGACUGCAUAACACAAAUAGAGCACACCAGGAAGCAAAGGACAGCUGCUCACAGCAAGUUGGAACAGCCUCUUCCUCAAGUGUCUGGAGCUGAGUUGCAACCCAGGGAAGGGAACUGUGACUUAAGACGUGAAAGCUUGAUGUUACUUCCAGAUCUCAUGUCAACACUGAGCCCUCAGUUAUUGGUGGCAGUUGCUCAGCAGACCCUGGGCAUGGGAAAGAAAAAGGAUCCACCUCGAGCCAUCUGCCUUCACCUAGCUGGAGAGGUGCUGGCUGUGACCCGGGGACUGAAACCAGCUGUGCUAUAUGAUUGCAACUGUGCAGGAGCAUUGGCACUCCAGAACUAUCUGGAGGAGCUGCAGGGGCUGGGCUUCCCUACUCUGGGACUUCACAUUCUUGAAAUUGGAGAAAAUAACUUCAUUGUCAGUCCUGCUCAUGUAUGUCAGCACUUAGAACAGGUGCUGCUUGGUACCAUAGCCUUUGUGGAUGUUUCCAGCUCCCAACCUCACCCUUCUAUCUGUUCCCUGAACCAGCUUCAGGAUUUGAAGGACAUUGUGACGGAGAUCAUCACUCAUUUGCAGGGGCUACAGAGGGACGUAUCCUUGGGAGUCUCCCACAGCAUGCUCCAUUCCUCAGACUGGAAUCUCUGUACUGUAUUUGGGAUCCUCCUGGGCUAUCCUCUCUCUUACACCUUUCACCUGAACCAGGGCGAUGACAAUUGCUUAGCCCUGACACCACUACGGGUAUUCAGUGCCCGGAUCUCAUGGCUACUAGGUCAACCCUCAGUCCUGCUCUAUUCCUUUAGUGUCCCAGAAAUCUUGUUCCCAGCCCUGAGGGACACUCUAAACGUCUGGGAGAAGAACCUCAGAACCCGAUUUAGGACUCAGAAUGACUUUGCUGACCUCAGCAUCUCUUCUGAGAUAGUGACACUGCCGGCUGUGGCCCUCUGACUUUAAUUGUCCUCCUAUGUGGAAGGUAUGAGGGAAACAAGAUCAGCAUUUCUUCUGUCCUAUGCUGAGUUAUCUGCCCCUCCAAUCACUGUCUGUAAGAAUAAAGAAACUCUGGACAUGGACAUUGGAACUAGAGCUCCUUCAGGAAUAUAAGGGGGAAUCGAUGCUGCUGUUGCUGUUUUAAUGGUUUCUUCUGCUUUCUGGAUGGCCUCUGUUGGGGUCUUCAAUAUCAGCAGAUUUCAUCCCAUACCUGAUGUUCCUUGCAGUGCAUUCCCUGGCUGCUGGAAGCUUUGCAAAUUAAAAGCCAGAAUGGUCUGCUGAUGUGAAGAACUUGAAGAAAAUUUCAGGCACUGAGGAAGAGGACCAGACAGAAGUAGAAAGGUAAUGUCUGCUGCCCAAGUUGGGAAGAAUUUACAGAUAUUGCCACAGAAGCCACCACUGUUUCAGAAAUUGAAUCCAAGUCUUGGAUGAAGAUUUUGCCAAGCUCACAGGAGGUGGAGAGGACAGUGUAGACAGGCAGAGUUGGAUGAAAGUGUGGCCAAGGGACCAGAUGGCUGGAUUAAAGCACACGUGUGAAGGGGAUUGUGUGUUAGGACCUGAAAGGAAAAUUUUUGGCUGGACUUUGAAUACCUGAUCAGGAACUUUGGAUUUUAACCUGGAGAUGAUGGAGAGUGUGCGUGGGACAAAGUCCAUACCAAACCCAACUCAUAGCAAGUGGAGCAAAAGCCAAAACUCACAAGAUAAAACACAGCAAGAAAAAGUGCAAAGGCAUGUGAGCAUCUGUGAACAUGUGCGCUCACGUGUUCUAAGAAUGGCACAAAUUCAAGAUGGAACAACCCGUUUCAACAGCACUUGACUUGAAAAAGACAUGGGUGUUCAAGUAUCUACAAGGUCACUCUAUUUGUUGGUGUGACUUGCCUGGGAUGAGCCU